AGCGCCUUUAGCAGACAUGUUCAUAUCCAAAGAUACACUUCUUACGGGAGGAGCUCUGCCGGGCUGACCGGGCCUAGGACCACCGAAAUCUGCAAGCAUACAUACACACAUGACACACACGACUGGCUGGAAUCUAGGACACAUUUCACGUCGAGUUAAAGGAGGCUAGCUGAUCACUACUCCAUUUGCCAUGCUUCAGUUACCAUCUUUAAAUCCUAGAUUACUUCUCCAUCACAGCUCGCUCGCUCAGACCGGAAAGUGGCCGUGCAUUAGCAUGGAUUCUUAUUGCACCGAGCUGCACCUCCACGGAUCACUUGCUCGCCACUCGGCGGGAGAGCUGACGUCAGCGCGAUGCCGAGCCAAUCGUGGAAAACCUCCCUGCGUGGAGAUCUAUGAGACCUGCGGUUCUCAUUAUCAGAUACAAUAACACUUACAGUAAAACCUAUGUAGUGCACAAUCA